rnacentral:misc_RNA from 1 species
AAGUCGUAACAAGGUUUCCGUAGGUGAACCUGCGGAAGGAUCAUUAUUGAAUAUUCUUGAUGGGUUGUAGCUGGCUCUUUGGAGCAUGUGCACGCCUGUCUUGACUUAAUUCAUCCACCUGUGCACCUUUUGUAGUCUUGGGGGUUGAGUGCAGUCUCGACUGUCGGACGGCUAUUGUAGUCUAUCCGGAUGUGAAGAAUGCUGAGUGCGGAAGCAUACGGCUCUCUUCAAAACGACUUGCAAACCCUCGAGUACUAUGUAUUCAUACACCACAUAGUAUGUUGUAGAAUGUGAUCAGUGGGCCUCUGUGCCUAUAAUAAUCAUAUACAACUUUCAGCAACGGAUCUCUUGGCUCUC